GUUCCGGAGGAGCGACCUAAGGAAGUUUUUGUUGAAGAUUCAGAGAUAUGAAAAUUUAGUUGUAGAAACCUGUGGUUUAGAACUUUUCAAAGUACUUACCUUGAGUUGAAAACUUAUUACAAAUUCAAUUAUUUUGAUUAAGUGCACAUUUCUUGAUUUAGUAACCUGAAAAGGAAAGGUAAGCUGGUAGAACCGACAACAGAAAAUAAUGAAAAUAGUCAGGUUAACGAUAACAAAGAAGUUUAUGGCGAAAAUGAUGACUUUAAUCUGACAGGAGACAAUGAAGAUGAUAAUAAAUAUGAGGAAGACAUCGCCAAUCUUGCAAAAGAAAUUUGUCUUGUAUGGAAAGUGAAUGAUUGGGUUGCUGUUGCAUAUGAAAAACAAUGGAAUAUUGGAUAUAUUGUGGAGGUAUCUAUAACUGGGAUCAGAGUUAAUUGUAUGAUUAACGGGCAAGAUAAGAAUACUUUUUGCUGGCCAGUUACUACCGAGGAGAUAAAUAACCAAACUGAUAAAAUUAUCUGUUUAGUAAAUGCUCCUUUUCUAAUCAGUGGUUGUGGCGAUUAUUCAUUAUCCGAAGAAGACUAUAAUACAGUCAUAUCAUUAUUCUUAAAGAAACUUACUGCAGCAGAGUAGAAAUUAUGUGUGAUGUGGUGGAUAAUGUGUGUAAAUGAUUAAUAAAUGAAAAACUAAUUUUUAAAUGGAAAAACAUUUAAAUGUUUGAUUUAUGUUUUAUUUAAUUAGCAAUAUAGUUAUCUUGAUGUUA